UACGUAGGUGGCAAGCGUUGUCCGGAUUUACUGGGCGUAAAGGGCGUGCAGGCGGUUUGUUAAGUGCAGGGUGAAAGCUCCCGGCUCAACUGGGAGAGGUCCUUGCAUACUGGCAAACUCGAGGGAGGCAGAGGAAAGUGGAAUUCCCGGUGUAGUGGUGAAAUGCGUAGAUAUCGGGAGGAACACCAGUGGCGAAGGCGACUUCCUGGCCUGUUCUUGACGCUGAGGCGCGAAAGCUAGGGGAGCAAACGGG
rnacentral:rRNA from 1 species